rnacentral:rRNA from 1 species
UACAGAGGUCCCAAGCGUUGUUCGGAUUCAUUGGGCGUAAAGGGUGCGCAGGCGGCGCGGUAAGUCGGGUGUGAAAUCUUGGAGCUUAACUCCGAAACUGCAUUCGAUACUGCCGUGCUUGAGGACUGGAGAGGAGACUGGAAUUUACGGUGUAGCGGUGAAAUGCGUAGAUAUCGGGAGGAACACCGGUGGCGAAGGCGGUUCUCUGGGCCUUACCUGACGCUGAGGAGCGAAAGCGUGGGGAGCGAACAGG